rnacentral:lncRNA from 12 species
AAAUGGGUCACCUAGGUGCCCCUUAUUUUUUCUUUACAACAUGUUUAUUAUCAUCGAGAAUUCAGACAUGAUGCUCUUGUAUCUUUAGCUAAGCUUCUUUUUAAGUAACUACAGAUUCACACACAGUUUUAAGUUCUCUUUUUGAUUUAUAUGUUGUGUGCAGGUAUGCAUCUUACAUAAGUGAACACAAAUAGUUUCUGAAUUACAGCGGCCUCAGAAAAAUAAAUUCCAGUGUUUAAUAAAAACUUCUUUUUAAAAAAUUUCAUCACUAAAGUAUGGUGAGAAUUCCUGAAGUCACAAAUCGGUACACAUCAGCAUUUUGCAUAAAAGGAAAACAUCCAUAUCUGACUCAAGCAACGAUGAAAUCAAUACAGAAACAUUUCCAGAGAAGUCCUGCAGGUUUUUUUAUGCAUUAACAGCUAGUAUAUCGUGCAAAAAAAUCUUCUGACUGUUUAAUAAAUCAACUUUAGAUCCACA